rnacentral:rRNA from 1 species
UGGGGAAUAUUGCACAAUGGGCGCAAGCCUGAUGCAGCCAUGUAGCGUGAAGGAUGACUGCCCUAUGGGUUGUAAACUUCUUUUAUACGGGAAUAAAGUGAGGCACGUGUGCCUUUUUGUAUGUACCGUAUGAAUAAGGAUCGGCUAACUCCGUGCCAGCAGCCGCGGUAAUACGGAGGAUCCGAGCGUUAUCCGGAUUUAUUGGGUUUAAAGGGAGCGUAGGUGGACAGUUAAGUCAGUUGUGAAAGUUUGCGGCUCAACCGUAAAAUUGCAGUUGAUACUGGCUGUCUUGAGUACAGUAGAGGUGGGCGGAAUUCGUGGUGUAGCGGUGAAAUGCUUAGAUAUCACGAAGAACUCCGAUUGCGAAGGCAGCUCACUGGACUGCAACUGACACUGAUGCUCGAAAGUGUGGGUAUCAAACAGG